AGAUCAUCUAUUGUGUUUCCUGCGUAGCUGUCCAGCCUUUUCUUCAGCCUGAAUACAUUUGUCUGUUUUGAUCUGCCUGCCUUGUUGAUAUUUUCCUGUUUUUGACCACAAAUGAGAUGCCACAUCAUGCCUCUUCGCUCUCAUUGAAGACACAGUGGGACUAAAAAAAAAGGCCUAAACAACACCAAACUCAAGGUCUACUGUGAGGUGAAGAAGUGUAGUAUGUGACUGACUGCUCUGAUGUGUGCUCAUCUCACGAAUCCAUCUGCAUGAGGGUGUUCCUCUAUGACACUCACUGUCAACAGCAGCUGAAGCCAUGCGUCAGAACCGACUCAGCUCCAGCACAAUGAUGUGCAAAGAAUCAAAUUCAGCAUUUGUAAAUUUGUUGUCCGUGACGUUUAAAAAAUAAACUAUAGCCUUUCGUUUUGUGAAA